rfam:Schistosoma mansoni strain Puerto Rico chromosome W, complete genome
AUCCAGCUGACGAGUCCCAAAUAGGACGAAACACGCGUCCUGAAU